UUUUUUUUUUUUUAAUUUAAGACAGAUGAUUUAGUAUUGUGAACAAGCCACCUUUCUUUUUUGUUUUUGUUUUUGUUGUUGUUUUGUGCGCGCAAGAAGCCGCACCAAGUCUGGAAUACAAACUGUAAUCGAAUUAGGACUCCGCAUCCAAACCAUACAAAGGAAUGAUCCUAAAACCCUAAACCCGACCUUCAAAAUCCAACACUCUGUGCCGCGAGCUCCAGUUCCUACCCCUCAAGGCCGAUCUAUCAAUCCCAGAUCCGCGUCGAGCUCGAUCCUCCCAAAGGGGCAACAGUGUGGAGAUAAAUCCUUCUUCUUCACUUCGCGCCUUUCUCAAAGCCUAUCUUGUUAAUAAGUUACCAAGGCAGAAGUAUGUUUGUAUUUUAUGCAUGUGAUCCCAAGUUUGUAAUUCCAAUGUUUGUUUCAUUAAUACCGUUUAAUGUUCCAUCCUUGUAUGAUACUAUAAAGUUUUUAAAUACUCUGUUUACAUUUUUUUU